GAUGAACGCUGGCGGCGUGCCUAAUACAUGCAAGUCGAGCGAACAGACGAGGAGCUUGCUCCUUUGACGUUAGCGGCGGACGGGUGAGUAACACGUGGGUAACCUACCUAUAAGACUGGGACAACUUCGGGAAACCGGAGCUAAUACCGGAUAAUAUUUCGAACCGCAUGGUUCGAUAGUGAAAGAUGGCUUUGCUAUCACUUAUAGAUGGACCUGCGCCGUAUUAGCUAGUUGGUAAGGUAACGGCUUACCAAGGCAACGAUACGUAGCCGACCUGAGAGGGUGAUCGGCCACACUGGAACUGAGACACGGUCCAGACUCCUACGGGAGGCAGCAGUAGGGAAUCUUCCGCAAUGGGCGAAAGCCUGACGGAGCAACGCCGCGUGAGUGAUGAAGGUCUUCGGAUCGUAAAACUCUGUUAUUAGGGAAGAACAAACGUGUAAGUAACUGUGCACGUCUUGACGGUACCUAAUCAGAAAGCCACGGCUAGCUACGUG
rnacentral:rRNA from 1 species